rnacentral:lncRNA from 1 species
CAGAUCCUAUAGGCAUGUCACCUACCCUCCUAAUAGAUAAAACAUACAUAAUUACCCCCAACCCUUUUCACUAGCCAACCCCAAAUGUUUACAAAUGAAUACAGACCAAAUACUGAAUUACAUUAGAAAAGUAUAAAAUAAAAAGUUACAACCGUAGGAAGCCUGAUUCCGGCUUCUUCUCUGAGUUAUGGAACAAACCACCUAAAAUGCCACUUGUUUCAAAGCUUUUCUCAGACCUAGGUGUGUCAAAGUUCCCUAAGGGUCUCAAGGGACCCCCGACAACGCUUACACCCAACUUUGCAUAACCAGAUAGAUAUGAGUGCAGUGUGGAAGAGCCAGCCCUUAUGUGUCCAUGUUCAAAGGGAGCUCAAGGAUCCCAAGGAAGCGCUCACACAUGAGGGACAAAACUUAAGUUCCAGGAAUAUAUUGAAGUGCAGAACAUAGAGAUUUAUUUAAAACUAGACUAGGAAAUAGUAUGUGAUAAGGGUGAUGUGAAAACAGUAGUACACAGAAUAAGUACUUACACAAAGGGGUCAGGGGUUUUGGGAAUACAUUGCAUGAAGCAUAUGACCCUAGGAGGGGUCAGGUUUGGACAUGCACAACAUUAGAUAAUGUUGGCAUGUCCGCAAAGCAACGAGAGAACACAAGCACAAAGAGGGGAUAUGGGGUUUGGGAUUCAUACAAGUAAGAGAGAAUUAACUUUAAAAAAGGAAGGGAACACAUUGCCACAUGCUAGUAAUAUAACUUGAUUGCAGAAACAUAAGCAGAAGUGGACAAGCAUGAAACAAGUUGAAACAAUUAUUGAAAUACAUUGUUGUUGAUGCUUGAAAAUUAACUAGGACAUACCAGUAAGAAGCAAGUAACCAAAUUCUCAUAGCCUAGCCUUAGCUUUCAGCCGGUUAGACAAAGCAGUAGCGUAAUUAGUAACAGAGAAAAGAGAGAAUUUUGAGUGAAGUGUGUGUUCUGAACUCGUAUUGUUCGUGUCUUUGAAAAAAAGGUGCAGGGUAUUUAUAGCUUUUGAAAACGAGUAAUAAAUAAGGUAAUAAGUAAAGUCUUAACACAAACAUGGAAACAAUCAUAAUUUACAAUCAAUUAACUGAGUGAUUCCUUUUAAUUAAAGAACCAUGGCUUAACGGGUACUAACUAGUUUCAAUUAAGGAAAGAAAAUCAGUUCGGACAGAUUCAUUAUUUCCAUAAAAGGGGUAGUAAAAGCAUAAAGUAAACAAUCAAGUCUAAGUACAAAGACAUGCUUAUUUUGAAAAAAGAUUCAGCAAUGUAAAAAUAUCACAGCAAAGGAAAAUAAUCAAUUAAUUUUAAACAGGCGAGUGAAAUUAGAGUUCAUAAAUAAAAAAGCUUUUGCAAUCAAUCACAAAACCAAUCAAGGAAAUAACAUGAUUCUACACUUCAGUACAUAAAUAGAGUGAACAGAAGCAUUAGACAUGUGAGGUCAAACACGUUGGCAAAAGAGAUAAUCACAAACAUGCAGUAAUGGCAGAAAUAUGCUAGGAUUCAGUAGUAAAGCAAACACUUGAGGCACAAUAGUCAAGUAGGUCAAGUCACAUAGAAUCAAUAAUGAAGAAAAAACAUAGUAUCGGGUAAAAGAAAUAAGAAACAUGUAAAGGUCUCACAGUAGCAGAUGCGGAAACAUUUUGAGAAGUUAGGGGUUCAACAAAAAUCGAAGUAAAAGAUAGUAAAACUCAAAAUCAAAUAAGUUAAACAAGCACGAACAACUUAAUCAAGCAAGUACACAUUUAAUCUAGAACUCAGAUAAGACUAAAAUAACUAGGGUUUUUAAUAUGUUGAAAUAGAUAGAAGACAAACAUGAGCAAAUAGCAAAAUCAUCAAACAACAUUAAGAUCAGAAAAUAAAACUUAAAGGAAAACCAUAAUUGUUGGAAAAAUAAAGAGUCGUUGAAAGAAAAGUUGAAGAACCUUCGAGAAAACACCUAAAAAGUUCAUGGUAAGCACAAAUCUAAGGUAGAUCUGAAAGAAAUCGAAAGGUCUUAGAGAUUAGGAUUUCAUAAAACCCAAAAGAAACGUUAAAGAUCUCGAAAGUUAACGAUCUAACCAGAAAAGUCAAGCAUCGGCAUUGAAAAGGCCAUGAAUGGCCGGAGAAAGGUCGUGAAUGGUCGUAGAAAGGCCAUGACAACAAUCGAGCAGGACUGAACCAUAUUCCUUCAAUGACUAGCCAUGAAACCACAGUAAUAAACACUCAUGAGCCAUAGAAGGCUGGUACAUGUUCCAAAUGACCACGAGGGGCCAUAGAUUAGGUAGAUAUUAGGGUGGGGUUAGAUGGCGGCCGCUAGGGUUCAUGAGAGUUUCAGAGAGAGAUAAGAGAGAAUAAGGAUUCAAUGGCAGCGUUAGGUGUAAAAUGGGGUAGUGUAACGGAUUAUUUGAGGUUAAAAAUGGAACGGGCGAGUAUUAGCCAUUAAUCUGAAUGAUCAACGACCUGGAUUAAAGUAGGUAAGUGAGUGGGUUUAUGAAAUUGGGUUUGGGUCUGGUCUGGUGGGUUUAAUUGGGUUAGAAUUGGGUUUAAAUUGGGCGAGGAUUUAGGCUAUAAUUGAAAUGUAGUUGGCUAUUAUUUAAAUAGUCAAUUUUCACUUUUA